AGCCUGGGAACCUCCGUAUACCCCAGGUGCUGCCCUAAAAAGACAAAAAGACAAAACUGAUAUCUAUGCCGCGCUUUAUAAUUUACAGUCACCUCCACGGACCUUCUCUCCUUUGCACGUGUGACGAUGUAGACCAGAUGCCGGGUUGUUGCUCCUCCCUUGACUGAGGAAAUGGGUGCAGAGGACCUGGCUUUGCCUGGCAGCACAGCCACUAAAGGGCCAAGCAAGCUUUCCUCUCGGCCGGCAAUUGUCCCACCUACGGUUCAGCCACAGUUCUGCUCCUGCCCUUCCAGGUGACACAGAACAGUGGUGCUCCUCCCUGCAUCAGUGAAGCGUUUGAAGGUGCAUCUGGGCCCUCCCAUCUUCUCGGGCUUGACAUCCUCAGCCUUGUGGGCCUUCUUCACAUGGCGCAGAGUGGCAAAGGCUGCUGGCUGACUUAGAACAAGUCUCUUCCAGCCUACUGACCAGACUGCACUUCCCGGUCUCUUUUGCAGGGCCCUGCGUCAGCAGCUCACUCUCCGAUGCACGUGUUCCUCCAGCACAGCCUGGUUUACAGCGGGCCCCCAAGUUGGUCCAGGCGUGGUCUCUGUCCAGAGCUAAGGCCGAUGCGCUCCUUCUUUGAAUCAAGGGCACAGGAGAUUUCAAAGGGGAGGAGGCUCUGUGUGCCCAGGAAACAGGAUCAUGGAAUCAGAGAGUCCAGGGGCACGGCAGUCCAGAUCCUUAAGGACUUUCUGCCAAAACUCGAGUCUAACACCUUGAAGACACAGGAGGAAAACAGAAAGAGCUGGCCUUCCUGGGACCCUGGGAGUUGAACAAGGCUGGGUCCAGAGCGACAAAGAUAGAACAGAAGCAGCUCUAAAAGCCUGGCCAUUCUCUGAACAUGCUAAACUGAAAACAAAUAAUAGGGGUGUGUGUUGAUAACUACCUAACUGCAUAGGAUGAGGACUCAGAAACGUAUACCCUCGAAUCUCUUACUAAAGAUUCUCCGCGCUGAGCACCUGCUCAGAAAGACUGCACACAGAAUGGUCAUUUUCUGGCUUGCUGCAGAUUGGCCAAGUGUCAUGCGAAGAAGUAGAAUCCGCAAGCUUGACCCGCAUCAACAUUGUUUUCUCAUCACUCUGCAGCUUGAGUAUGAGGGAGAUGAAAGAGGAAACGGGGAACCUGCCUCCCUGCUGGGGGGGGGGGCAGCAGAGGCCACCAGUGGUGGGGGUGGGGGCGGGGACAUGGUGAGUCCUGAGUCUGCACCACACACCAGCUGUGCCGAUGCCGUGGGAGGCAAGGGCUGCCUUCUGCAAGCAGAGGCUGGGCGCAGAGGUGGAGAGUGGUUCAAGAGCUGGAAUGUUUGUGCUAAAACUCUUCUUGGAGCUUCCUGUCUCUUCCACUUGUCCUGACCUCUCCAGCCACCAGGGAGGCAGCGGCAGGCCCAGAACCCAGCAGGAGGGACCAGGACCCUCCCCCAGGGGGACGGUGACGGGCUGAGUUUCCAACAGGCCAAGGAUGGGUUUCAAUUACUGAUGGGUUGCAAAUAACAGUAAAUCUGGCUAAAGAGCCUGGAUGUUCAGCCAACUUCACUUCCAAUACUCUGCCCUGGAGGCUCAAGUUGUCGGCAGGGUUGGUUCCUUCUGAGGCUGUGAGGAAACCUGUUGCAGACCCUUCUCCUUGGCUUGCAGACAGCUGGUUUCUGUUCAUUCAGUGUUCUUUCUCUCUCUGCAUGUGGGGUGUGUGUGUGUGUGUGUGUGUGUGUGUGUGUGUGUGUGUGUGUCUGUGUUCAGAUUUCCCCCUUUUCUAAGGACACCAGUCAUACUGGCUUGGGGCCCACCCUACCGAACCCAGGUUAACGUAAGCUCCUCUUUAGAGCCUCUGUCUCCAAACACAGUCUGAGGUCCCAGGAGUUAGGACUUUGACAAGUGAAUACCGGGGGGAGACAAUUCAACCCUUUGUGAGUCCCUUCCCCACCUCAACCUUCUCUUACCUUUUUUUUUUUUCUUGCUUUGCUCUUCUUUAAAGCAUUUGUUGGAGUUCCCAUUGUGGCUCAGCAGGUUACGAACCUGACUGGU